AUGAUCUUGGAGAAACAGGUCCUGUCGUUCGCGAAGGCGGUCGAGGACAUCACCGCACUCGAGCGUCUUGGCCCGGACGACAUCGAGGCGUUCCGCGAGCGCCGAAUGCUGCAGAUGCGCCGCGUGGCCGAGCGCCAGCCCAAGUGGUGUGCCCUGGGCACGGCGAGUAUGCCGAGGUCCUCGAGAAAGAGUUCUUCUCCGUCGGCAUGGCCGGCGAGCUCCUCGUGA
rnacentral:rRNA from 1 species